GUAUCUGUCGCUUAGUGGUCAAUAGCGAUGAGCUCAUGACUCAUUAAAUACAUGUCAGUAGUUCGAAUCUACUUAGAUACA
rnacentral:tRNA from 1 species